AAAAGGAGUUUGUCAGGUAAUUCGAA
rnacentral:piRNA from 1 species